AAUCUGGAUAUUUGGCUUGAGAAAUGGGCGUGGUGCGUGGGCGCGCGGUGGAGCGAAGACAAUUUUCUGUCACUAGCCAGUUUUCUGGAGCCACUUGUCCAGUGUACCCGUCAAGAUGCCGAACCACGAGACCACGAGCCUGAUCGCCACCUAUCUCAUCCUGGUGCUGCUCCUCGCCAGCCUCUGGCUGCUCUACUCUGGAAUGUUCUGAGAUGCAGUCGAGGUUAAGACGCUAAGAGCCCAAACACAAAAUGGCGGAAAGACAAACGCUAUGAAAACAAUUAAAUUUUAAGAAACCGUAAUUUUAGUGUCUAAGUUAAUACUAUUUUAAGCAUCGUUAUACUCCCAAGCAUUUAAUUAUGUCGAAUUUUUUGAACAUCUGCUGAAAAGCUAAACUACAGCUACGACCGCUAAUGAUGCGAUUUUAGCAAUUUUUAUGGAAGCGAACACCGAAUUCAGUGCUGGGCAUUCCAAUUUAUAUAAAAAACACUAAAAAAACGCGAGAAAGACAACUAUGUAAAAUGCCAAAAUUAAGUUCAAUUAAAACGUUAAUUUAGUAACAAAUGUCGGCUGGCGCAGUUCAAGUAUUAAGAAUGUUAUCGUUAUUAUGAACUAAGAUAUUUUUAAUAAAGUUAUUUUUAAAA